GAGGGUAUAGCUCAGUGGUAGAGUGUGUGCUUAGCCUGCACGAGGUCCUGGGUUCAAUCCCUAGUACCUCCA
rnacentral:tRNA from 1 species